UACAAGGGAGUUGUUCAGUAAUGUGGCAGUGACUGCGUAUAACCAUUCUUUUCCAUUAGAUACAUCGAAAAAAACAUCACAGGUUGUGGGUUCGACAGCUGUCAAAAGACCAUUUAUGGCAAUACCCAGCAACGCUGAACCCGAACCUUCAAAAAAUAAACCACUAUGGACUGCGAAGACGUCAACCGAAACAGCAAACUCAAAACGUUUCAAAUCAGCAACCAAAAGUUAAUAUAAUUUAAG
rnacentral:lncRNA from 1 species